AUUGAACGCUGGCGGCAUGCCUUACACAUGCAAGUCGAACGGCAGCGCGGGAGCAAUCUUGGCGGCGAGUGGCGAACGGGUGAGUAAUACAUCGGAACGUGCCCAAUCGCGUGGGAUAACGGAACGACAGCUGUGCUAAUACCGCAUACGAUCUACGGAUGAAAGCAGGGGAUCGCAAGACCUUGCGCGAAUGGGGGGGUGGAUGGGGGGUUAGGAAGUUGGCGAGGUAAAGGCGCACCAAGCCGUCGAUCCGUAGCUGGCCUGCGGGGCGGACCGGCCACAAGAGAAGUGAGACGACGCCCAGCCACCUACGGGAGGCAGCAGUGGGGAAUAUUGGAGAAUAGGCGGAAGCCUGAUCCAGCCAUGCCGCGUGGGGGAAGAAGGUCUUCUGGUUGUAAAGCACUUUUGUUGGCAAAGAAAAGCACCAGCCUAAUACCCCGCUGGUCUGACGGUACCCAAAGAAUAAGCACCGGCUAACUACGUG
rnacentral:rRNA from 1 species